AACGAACGCUGGCGGCAUGCCUAACACAUGCAAGUCGAACGGGAUCCUAGCUUGCUAGGUGAGAGUGGCGGACGGGUGAGUAACACGUGGGAAUCUGCCUUUUUGGUUCGGGAUAACCGCGGGAAACUGCGGCUAAUACCGAAUGCCCUCGAGAGAGGAAAGAUUUAUCGCCAGAAGAGGAGCCCGCGUCCGAUUAGGUAGUUGGUGGGGUAAAGGCUACCAAGCCGACGAUCGGUAGCUGGUCUGAGAGGAUGAUCAGCCACACUGGGACUGAGAUACGGCCCAGACUCCUACGGGAGGCAGCAGUGGGAAUAUUGGACAAUGGGGG
rnacentral:rRNA from 1 species